rnacentral:rRNA from 1 species
AGAGUUUGAUCAUGGCUCAGGACGAACGCUGGCGGCGUGCCUAAUACAUGCAAGUUGAACGCUGAAGCUUUAACUGAUGCUUGCAUCGACCUAAGCUUUCAGAGUAGCGGACGGGUGAGUAACACGUGGGUAACCUGCCCAUCAGAGGGGGAUAACACUUGGAAACAGGUGCUAAUACCGCAUAAUUCCUUUUACCGCAUGGUAAAAGGCUGAAAGACGCUUCUGGUGUCACUGAUGGAUGGACCCGCGGUGCAUUAGCUAGUCGGUGGGGUAACGGCCUACCGAGGCAAUGAUGCAUAGCCGACCUGAGAGGGUGAUCGGCCACAUUGGGACUGAGACACGGCCCAAACUCCUACGGGAGGCAGCAGUAGGGAAUCUUCGGCAAUGGACGAAAGUCUGACCGAGCAACGCCGCGUGAGUGAAGAAGGUUUUCGGAUCGUAAAACUCUGUUGUUAGAGAAGAACAAGAGAAGUAGUAACUGGCUUCUCCUUGACGGUAUCUAACCAGAAAGCCACGGCUAACUACGUGCCAGCAGCCGCGGUAAUACGUAGGUGGCAAGCGUUGUCCGGAUUUAUUGGGCGUAAAGCGAGCGCAGGCGGUCUUUUAAGUCUGAUGUGAAAGCCCUCGGCUUAACCGAGGAGGGUCAUUGGAAACUGGGAGACUUGAGUGCAGAAGAGGAAAGUGGAACUCCAUGUGUAGCGGUGGAAUGCGUAGAUAUAUGGAAGAACACCAGUGGCGAAGGCGGCUUUCUGGUCUGUAACUGACGCUGAGGCUCGAAAGCGUGGGGAGCAAACAGGAUUAGAUACCCUGGUAGU